AUUUUAUGAUGUGGACAUUGUAUUUGUAACUCCCCAAAUCUUUCCUAAGCUUCAAAAAAUCUUUCGUAUGUUUUUGUCUAGAAGUUUGAAUUUUGUUUCUUAACUCU
rnacentral:snoRNA from 1 species